GCCCGCCUGGAGGGAGAGAGCUUUACAGCACAUUAGGAAGAUGUCGACGCGGCCCUCGGGGAGCUUGUGAUAAAAACGCUACAGGGAGAGGAGUCUGAGAAUCGCUAGGCUUCUGGGGAGUGUGCACGGAUACUCUGCACGCGGCGCUGCCAUUUCUAGAAUUCCUGAGAAAAGGUUUUCUUGUGUAGGGUUUGCUUUGGUUAUCCCCCCCCCCACACCCCCUUUGUAGGCAACAAAGGAAGAAUGGAACUUCCUAAAUAUUAGGAUCUACAAUUAUGCCACCGGAUCUAAAGGGAAAGGGGAAAAUGAAGACACGAGUCGCUGUUUCUGUUUAUUCAGAUUCUUCGGAGGACACUGGCUUCACAGGAGGAAGUACCCUGAGAAUCACAGUGAGCCACGGUGUGGGCGAAGACUCAGGGCCCAGGGCUCAGAGCUUUCAGUGUGUGGCCCGGGGAAAGCCGCAGCACUUCUCUGACCCUCAAUUUCUGGAUCCGUGAAAUGGACAUAAUACCUGCCCUGCUUACCUUACUGCAUUGCCAGAAGAACAGCGCCGAGUGAAGUUUGUGAACAGUGAAAUUUCAUGCGUGUCACGAGUACAAUAGGAUUGUGAUAUCAGUGUCACGCUCAAAAACACACUCUGGAAGGUUGGUUUGUGGUUAAAAAUGAUUCAGACUGAGAGAGAGAUUAUAAAGGCCGCGGAGAUUUACAAAUAGAUCGGUGAGAUCACAGCAGGCACGGAAGGGCACUUUUGAGCCGAUGGUGGAGACACUGAACAGGAAGUCUGGCAGUGGCACCAGAGGAGGAAGAGGUGUUGCUGGGUGCUACUGGAGGAAGCUGGAGGAUUUGUUCCCUGACAUGCAGGGGAAAGCGGUUGAGGAAACAGCUUAUGCUGUGAGCUUAUGAUUUCGUGAGUCACUGUACCAUCCAUGUUGAAGGUCACAUGCAAAAGCCAGAGACAGGAAUAGGUGCGCCUUGCCGAGGUGAUGACCGUGCCCGAGGACCUGUGGAGAAGACACGCGGGGCUGGGUGGUCCAGGAAGUGAAAUGAGUUGGACACUCCAGGCAGGUUCUGAGAAAGCCCAGCAAGAGGCCGUGGGAGGAGGUCAGAAUGAGCAACCGAUAUCUGGGCAGAGGCAGCUGACGGCUGUGGUCGGAGGCCAAGAAAACCAGUUCUGAAGGAGCUGGAAUCCUAGGCAAGGUGGCAAGGAUGCCGCUUGGCAGGGAAGGAAACCUGGCAGUCACCCUGGAACAGAACCAGAACUGCAGGGCUCCGGGAGGCUUGAUGCCUGGGAGAGAGAAAGGAGGACUGUGUUUAGGUCUUGCUCCUCCAGACAGCAGGUUGGGAUAGCAGGAUCCUUGAGAGGUGGGACAUAUCUCAUUCCUCUCUGUAGCCUCGCUACCUAGCACAGUGCCUGGCCUAUGGAAGGCACUCAGCCAGUGUUCGUUGGAAUGAACUGACAGAUUGAUGAACAGCAAAUGAAUAAGGCCAAAUUCAAGAUUCCCAACGAGCUUGGAAUUUUUAUUCCCUCUUUUGGUGGCUUUUGACUGCCUUAGGCUCUUUUCUAGUGCCAUAUAGCUAAUGCCAGGACUACCCUCAGUGUCCCUCCUGAGAACUCUUGGCCAUCUGGCAUGUCUCCAGUCUCCUUCCUUUCUCUUUAUAGGGUGUCUGCAUUCAAGAUGGCUGCGGUCCACUUAGUGGCUUGUUUCCAUGGCAACGUGCUUCUUCAUUAAGCUAUACCCAACCCCUCUCUAGUUACUAGCCUUUGCUGUACCUUAUUCAGUUCCCAGCCGUGUUUACAUCCUGUCCUGAUACAGAAUGUCUUUCAUUAAGGGAACAUUGUCUUCUCAGAAUUAACUUAAAAAAUGCACUUAAACACAUUAUGGUAUGACUUUUUUUUUCCAACUAGAAAUAUAAAAUUUCUCCACAACUUCUGUGCCAAAAAAUUAAGUUUCCUUGUCAGCCGUUUUCACUGGCUCUUUUCAAAGCUGUUUCCUCCACACAUAGUGUAUGCCAGCCCUGGAAAGAGUCUCCGGGAGAAGCAUGUGGCUCCCAACAUAAUGUCUGGCUCUCACAUUUUCACCUACAUCUGGGGACUCUGCCCCCUGCUGGUCGUUGUCAUGAUUAUAAUUGCCAGCAGUCUUGCCCUCAGUACUGACGAAUAUGAACACUAACUCAAGAAAAUAGAGGAACAAGAGUCACAGUGCACAUUUAAUUUUGUUACCGUGUCAUUUUUAUUAGACCCAUCCAUUUCUGUUUUUAAGGCUCCUGACGUGGUUUUCAUCACUUUAAUGAAGAAGGCUCUAUCUGACCCAUUAUUAGAAUCCAUCUUGCUCUACUCACAGAGUGUGGCUUGCCCGUAGCUUUUUUCUCAGCUGUAAACUUGUAAGACUCAAGAAACACCGAGGUGGUGCCCACUACUGCCAGUUCAAGUUCUACCUUUCUUUUUGACAUGGAUUUUCACAUCCGCUGGCAGAAUUUCUGCCAUGCAAUCGCCACUUGCAGCCAGUGAGGGUAGGCUUGUCCUUGGUCCAACAGCUAGUCCCAUUUCUCAGUUGGGGCCCGUCACCACUAUUCCUCACCUUCCCAUGAAGCACCAUAUUGAUUCCCACAUUCGGUAUCUCCCACUUACUAGGCCUCUCAUGGCUCAGCUCGGUGCAUUGCCAAGAUCUUCCACCCGGAUCCUUUCCUCAAAGCUCAGUGGGACUCUACACAGCAGAACAUUCAUUGUGGCUAGGGUAUAAACCCAAGUUCCUUAGAACAGCUUGAAAAUCCAGUUUUGAUUUCCCCUGCUCUUUCCAUGCCUGCAUUUAGAGCUAAAGUGCACCAGCGGAUAUGCAAAGUUCAUCCUAACCGUGCAGUUGUGCUAUGACCAAUUUAGAAAAAAACAUUGUCUAAAGAGGUGGUUCUGUAUACUGUGCGUGGUGUAAUUCUUAUAGGGAAAGUGAAAGUCUUUGUCGUACUGGCUUGAUCCGUGUCCCCUUCAAAAAUACAUUUCAGUCCUUAAUCCCCGACACCCUGAACGUGACCUUAUUUGGAAUUGAGUCUCUGAAGGUAUCAUCAAAUGAAAAUGAGAUCAUAGUGGAUUAUGGUGGGCCCUAGUCCAAUGACGGCUGUUCCUGUAAUAAGCGAGAAUAGGAAAGAAACCUGUCAGUGUGAAGACAGAAGAGAACGUGGAGUUAAGCUCCCAUAAGCCAAGGAAUGCAGAAGAUUGCCAGCAACCACCCAGAAGGUAGAAGAGACAAGGAAGGAUUCUUCUGUAGAGACUUUAUUCAGCUUCUAGCUGCGAGAGUGUACAUUUCUGUUGUUUUAAGGCACUCAGUUUGUGAUAAUUUAUUAUAGCAGCCCUAGCAAACAAUACAUUCACCAACCAGAAAACUAGAAAGAGGUGAGGGGUUCGACUCUCAAAUGUUGUCAUCGUUUUGCCUCCAAUGUUCAGCUUCCCCCAAGGAUAGAUGGGAAUUUGCCCAUUUGGUUCUUGGAAGAGAAUACUUUCUGUACUUUUGGACAUAAGGGGAAAAAAAUGCAGCGAUUUCUUUCUCCCCUGACAUUGGUAACGUUAUUACCCAUAAUGCAUUAGACACUUAGAUUUGAGAUACUACCUAAAUAUUUACAGCUCUUCCUAGAGUGUGACUGCGUGAUAUCCCAAAGAGAGGCUACUUGUGAACCACCCCUGACCGCACCACAGCCUGCCGGACCCUCCUCUGGUGCCCAGCUAAUGAAUUAAAUGUGGCUGCUUGAGUGGUUUCAUUAGCCUGCGAGGGCGGCAAAGCAACUUGGAGGUUGGAUGUGAUAAGUAAUGCAGGUUACAAAUGGCCAUUAAAUGUUCUUCCAAGGAAAAUUGCUGAACAAAAUGCUUUUAAACUUAUUCUUUAUUUUUUGUCUUUGGAGAAAGAGUUCUAGAGCUGGGGGUGAUGGAGAAGCUCAAGUAGGGAUGGAUCCGAAUCCACUGGUUUGGUAGGGAAAUGAUAGGAGCAGUCAGCACUGGUCAGAAGGGAAAUUUAAGGGAUGUGGCAGCAGUAGAAUUGGUCGGACGUUGCACAGAAGCAGAGUUACAAACAAGGCUGACUCCUAGGCUGAGGAAAUCUGAAAAACUUUUGGGUCACUGAGUGUGGUAGGGAAUUCAAGAUCAAGAAAAGCAAGAAAGAGGAAGUGAAGAGGAGGGUCUGUCAGACUCACAGGCUAAUAAAACUUGGCGGAGCCCUCAUAAUCAUUGGCUCCAAGUGCCACAUCCUACGGACGAGACCACUUGGGGCCCAGAGAGAUGAAGCGGUCAACCAGAGUUCCACGGCUAGCAAACGGGUAGAGCCAAAAUCAGAAUCCAAGGCCCCUCUCAUAAUCCAAAUUAGAGACCAAGAACUGGAGAAAGACCUAUGGAUGUAGAUUUUGUAGAACCCCACUUUCUAGCUGGCAACCCACAAAGGAGAAUAUUUGGAACAGAGAUGACAAACCACAAACUCAUGCUUUGACCUUUACUCUAGUUUUUAAAAUGAGUAGUUAAAUUUGUUUCUAACACCCAAAGGUCAGGUGAGUUCCCAUGGCACUCUAGGUUGCUGGCUGCUCCGGGAAAAGUCAGUUGGUCUGUGAGAAACUAAGGAAGAGCUCCUUCGUGUCAGAUGGGCCACAGGCUGGUGUACCUGCCCACCUGGCGGGCUUCACAGCUGAUAUCCCCCACCUGGCCCCGCUGGACCCUGGAGUUCACAACCCCUGGGAGAGGGGAAGAAAGGCAGGGGUCCUGAGCCUGCGGCUGAGAAGCAGAAUUGGAAAUGGCAGAGGGUGAAGGGAAGGAACCUGAAGACAAGAAGGCCCAGGGAGCCUAGGUCACAGAAGCAAAGGUCUCGUCCAGAAAUCCAGGGGACGGGACGGGCUUUUCAUCUAUUUUUGGAUAAAGUAACAGGAUGUGGAAACCAAAAAAAGUGGGCAGUUCUCUGAUCCUGCACAAUGGUGAUGACUUAUGCAAAACAUCCUCUUUCCUAUUUUUAACUAGAUCACAGAAGCUGCGUCAGAGGGCUCGUUGCUGACUAAUCCUGUUGUGGUGCCUUUCUCUGAAUUGCAUAAAUGCCAUCUACAUAGGCGAAAGAACAUUUGAGAAGGGGAAAAAAGUCUGUAAAGACUAUUGCACACAGAGCAUUCUUAUAAAUAGUAUUGUGAGUGAGAUCAGGGUGUUCUGGGCCACCACUUUCUGGAAGUUGUCUAGGAUUUCAUGGUUGAAUGAUGCGGACAUUCAGAGGAAACUAUUCAUUUAAUUCAAGCUGAAUCAGUGAUCCCGCGACAGUUUUGUACUCCAUAGCGACAACUCUUUUUCAAUCCCUCAGGUGCCUCAGAGACUGCCAAGGCAGGGAAGAGGAGUGACAGUGGCUUCAGGUCACCCGCCUCUCCUUCAAGCAAGGCAUCUUGGUGUACUGGCCUGGGAAUCGGUGAUCUAAGGAGUGAACUAGGGGAAGGGAUCUACCAUUUCAAAGAACAAUAGUUCACAAGUUUGAAAUGUUCAGAUGGAGUCCAGCACUCAAUUUAUCAAGAACUUGAGACCAAGAGAGUUUAAAUGACAUUUCUCAGCUCCCGUACGGAGUUUGUGACAGAGCUGGGACAUGGGCCCAUUCACGUGACCCCCAUCCAUGCUCUUCUGACUGUGCUCCCUCCCUCAGAGGCAGGGCUCAGAUAAAUCAUACUUAUGACCUGAGAGCUUCUGUUGUUCUUUAUGAUUCACUGAUCAACCGUGAACGAAGAAACAAAUGCUGGAAUUUUGGUGACAGCAUAUUGGUGAUUCUCUCCAGGAGACUGCGGUCUCACAAAGAAUCAGAGACCAAGGGAGGGCAGCUUCCUCAGAGAUUCUGUAGCCCAGCUCAUCCAUCUUCAUAGAUGACAAAAUUCAGCUCAGAAAGAUGAGUUGAAUUUUGCAAAGUCAUCUGGCUAUUUGGUGGUAAGAGGGAUUUUGAACCCAUUUGUUUUUUUGACUUGGAGUCCCCAUUGCAUCAUGUCCUGCAUCAACUCAUGCAUUUCUAAAAAGUCUUCCUGUAUUAUUAGGCAGGCAAAUCCAGCUUGUUGCUUGGUUUUGCAAAUAAAGUUUUAUUGAAACACAGUCCCUUCACAAAA